UACGUAGGGUGCAAGCGUUGUCCGGAUUUACUGGGUUUAAAGGGUGCGCAGGCGGACCUCCAAGUCUGUGAUGAAAUGUCAGGGCUCAACCUUGGCGCUGUCAUGGAAACUGGUGGUCUUGAGCUUCGUUGAGGCAGCUGGAAUGAACGGUGUAGCGGUGAAAUGCGUAGAGAUCGUUCAGAACACCAAUUGCGAAGGCAGGUUGCUAGACGAACGCUGACGCUCAGGCACGAAAGCGUGGGGAGCGAAC
rnacentral:rRNA from 1 species